UAAAAUGAAGUGCAGUCACAUAAUAUAUU
rnacentral:sRNA from 1 species